rnacentral:tRNA from 1 species
AGGUUCAACUCCUACUUUUCUA